AUACGUAGGGGGCGAGCGUUGUCCGGAAUGAUUGGGCGUAAAGGGCGCGUAGGCGGCCUGUUAAGUCUGGAGUGAAAGUCCUGUUUUCAAGAUGGGAAUUGCUUUGGAUACUGAUGGGCUUGAGUGCAGGAGAGGUUAUCGGAAUUCCCGGUGUAGCGGUGAAAUGCGUAGAGAUCGGGAGGAACACCAGUGGCGAAGGCGGGUAACUGGACUGCAACUGACGCUGAGGCGCGAAAGUGUGGGGAGCAAACAGGAUUAGACACCCUGGUAGUCCACACUGUAAACGAUGAAUGCUAGGUGUAAGAGGUAUCGACCCCUUUUGUGCCGGAGUUAACACAAUAAGCAUUCCGCCUGGGGAGUACGGCCGCAAGGUUGAAACUCAAAUGAAUUGACGGGG
rnacentral:rRNA from 1 species